CAUCCUCUCAUUUUUUUUAAAAGAUUUUUGGUGUUGUGUGUAUUGACAAUGACCUUUGAGAGUGCCAUCGCUGUUUCCUGGAGGAGUAAUGUCGUUGCUUGUGUGCAUGCCCAUUGUAUGUGGUUCUCCAAGAUUGAUACUUCACUAUAUGCUAUCGGCUAAUUUUUGGAGGUGUUGAGGUUGACAAGGACUUUGUAGAAUUGUUGGUCCAAUAUUUUUUCCUUGCUGUCUUGAAAAGUAUGGAAAAUACCCUACAUCUUGCGGUUUGUGUGCUUAGUUGUGGGAUGAAUGGUAUUGCUUCGAAGAAUUCUUUUGGUAGUGUCAUAGUUUGGUGUCCCCUUUUUUGUGAGUCCAUGUCUUCUGUAGGGUCUGCGGGUGCUGGUUUGAGAGGGGGGUGGAUUUCCCCCGGUUCUUUCUUCUUCCAUACAAAUUGGAAUCCUUCUAUGUGGUGUAUGAUGAAAGAUUGGUCUUGUUGAGGUGGGUCGUCGCCCCUCAACAUUGUGGGUGUAUCGUAUGCUCUGUUUAUCAAUUGACUUUGUUUAUUGGUGGAUGAUACCUCUUGAUCCUGUGAUUGGCUUAGUGCUAAGAACUGAACCCAAAUUUGAUAUGCAAGGAACUUGUACGUUUCUCUAUUCUGUACUGAAAAGAAUGGAGUUCAAGAGGUGAAGAGAUUUCCUUACCUUCGUAGCUAACUGGAGUGUUGAAAGUGUACUGAAUGCCCUCUAGGCUUGAGAAUGUGACUUUGGAGAAGGUGCUGCCUACUAUAGUACAGGUCUCCAUUGUUUCGUGGAGCACAGAGGCCGCUCAUUGUUUUAGGGCUAGUUGUGUUGGGCUUUUGCCUGUGACAUAACCGAUGACUGUAAGCUGCAUUGCCUUGUUGCGAAUCGCUUUGAUGAUUUGAAGCUCCUCAAUAGAAAAGAUAAUCUGUAGAGUAUCAAGGUUGUACUUUGACUGAGGUGCAAUGUUCACCAAUGGGUGAUUGAAUUGCGCGAGCGACGGGCUAGUGGUACUUACUUCGGGGCUAUACCUAAAUGAAAACAGGGCUCUUAGCUGUUCAAGGUUACUACUCGAGUGGGCGUUGGUUGGUUAUUCAAGCGAUGUUUCCCUUGUGAGGGUGCAGCGCCCUUGUCCUUUGCCAUUAGGCCUUCCGUUUUAGUAUCCUAAUAUUGUAUUAGCCAUGUUUUAGUGGGUAAGUAACUUGUGGAAAUUAACCGAUUAAAAGUCUUUGGGACUGUUAAUCUUUGUUGUAAACGGGGUGCACCGUAGUAUUUGUGCAAGUUUCCUUGCAUGUUUUGUGAUGUCCUAAUUUUUCUCCUCGACUCGGAGAUUCCAGGGUUUUGUUAAUCUAUGAUUCUAUAGCUAAUGCUAAAUUAUGUUCCGGUUUCUACAUACUGAUUUUCGUUGCUUUUGUGAGUAUCUGUGCUAUGGGAGUCUUCUGUAGCUAAGCGUUCUCCCCAUUCAUGUCUGCUUACAUAAGUGUUCUCUAUUGAUCUAAAGAGGUCUUCAUCUGUAAUAUCAGUGUCAGCCACUACGGCAAAGAUGUGUAGGUAUAGGUCGAGUGCUGUGUUGGUAUGAUGAUGCCUGGCGUAGUGGAGUAGUCAUUGUUCGAGGGAGAGGGUUUCAUUGUAGAAGUGUGGUGCGAUCGUGGGUGUAUCUGCGAUUAGUCCUUUGGCACUUUCUUGUUCGAUUUCUGCAAAGAGAUGGUAUAUAUCCUGUUGGAGUUCUUCAUCAAUGUUGGUAGCUGAAUUCAUAUCUGGGGUAUUGAAAACUUGUUGAGGUGGCUUUGUGGAGCUGUUGGUGAUGUGGCGUGGUGGAAGUCGUGAUUUGUCGCCUGGAUGUCGUGCCAAUUCUUCGGGAAGCAAGUGUAGUGGGAGAAUUAUUUGCUAGGAUCUCGUCAACAAUGCUAAGAACGUGGAAGAUCUCUAUUAUGGGGCUUCCUAUGCCGUCGUCCACCAUUCUACUGCAGCAUAGGGGUGAGCUUCUCUUGGGCGCCAAGGGAUGCACUUUAACAUUUUAGCUCGUUGUACUUUUACUAAUCUUCCACAUGUUACUCAUCUGAGGAUGUCUAUGUUGUGCCACUCUUAUGUAUUUGUGUUCCAGAGGUCCCCACAUGUGCGGAUUCCGUGGUUUGUCCAAAGGUGGUAGCAAUCAGUCGUAUGGUGGCCCUAUGAGUUUCCCUCAAGGGCUCAAAUCAAUCUGUUCUAGAAUAAUGGUUGCCGCAUGAUUUCAUCUCUAAACCUUGGAGGAGUUUGUUAUAGUCCAGGUUGCAGUUCUUGCCAAGCGUGCCUUGUGCUAAUCCAUAAAUGAGAGCCUUGUUGUACAACCAACAGUUUGUGAUCCAUGAGACAAUGCGGGCUUUGAUACCAUUCUCCAUCCUUGGGAUAUUUUGUUUCUAUAAUUUUGUGGCGGAAUAUAAUCUUCUACGGUUUGGUGCCGAGAGCCAAACCACAUGAUUAAUUUGGUUAAGAGUGCUCUAGCUUGCAUCUCUAAAUCAAGCACCUUGAGUCCUCUUUGUGUUAGGGGUUGUAUUACUGUUGACCAUCGGACCUUGGCGCGUAUAGAACCCAUUGUGAUGCCUGACCAUAGGUAAUUUUGCACUAAGGAUCUUAUUUGCUUGAAGAUCUUACUCUCUAUUCUUGCACUAUGUGGAAGCUAAGAUAACUUGGUUUAUGAUCAUAACCCUUCCUACUAGUGAGAGUUUUUUGGAGCCCCAUCUAAUGAGCUGGGAUGUGACUUGGCACAAGAUCUUUGCUUCAGUUUCUGCUGGGGGCAUAUGAAAUCUUAUCAGGAAUCCGAGGUAUUGUACUGAUGCUCCUGUUCUUACCCAAUUGAGUCCUUGUUGUUCCCCCCCAUUCACAGUUGCGGCUGUUUUGAGAGGCCCAUAUGUCUGAUGUUUUAUGCCAGUCGGUUUUGGCUCCUGCCCCCACCUAAGCUUGAUAAUUGCACAUACUGUAUGAGUUCAAUAAAGGUACAAACCCUCAUGUUUUAAA